rnacentral:rRNA from 1 species
AUGGCUGUGCUGAUGCUCCGCUUGUGCUUAUUCUUGCUCCUCUCUGUACAUGUCGUCCACCAUGCGACCGCUGUCUCCUUCGACCACGACUCCUUCAGCUCCGGCGACUUCCGAGCGGAGGACGACGCGAAGAUCAUCGACGGCAGGAUUGACCUCCUCGGCGACAAGACAUUUGCAGGCUGCCGAGCAAGGGGCCGCGUUCUGUACAAGCCGGCGGUGCAGCUCUGGGACGGCGCCACGGGCGAGGCGGCCAGCUUCACCGCCACCUUCAACUUCACCAUCCAGUCUCUGCCUCUGCAUGGCCGGAGAGCCCCCUCUGGGCACGGCAUGGCGUUCUUCCUCGCGCCCUACAUGCCCGAAAUACCGCAGGAGUCCUACGACGGCUGCCUCGGGCUCUUCGACGAGACGGCGCACCUGGCGAACGCGUCCGGCAGCGCCCGCUUCGUCGCCGUGGAGUUCGACACCCACCGCGACGCGUGGGACCCCAGCAGCCGGCACAUCGGCGUAGACGUCAACAACAUCGACUCACGCGGCAACUUCAUGAUCUUGCCAGACACCAGCCUCGUCGACGCCGGCGUGAUGUCUUCGACCGUGAGCUACGACAGCGCCACGACGAGGCUGGACGUCUUCCUCAGCGUCGGUGGAACCAAUUACACCCUGGGCGCCACCAUCGACCUGCGGAACUUGCUGCCGGACAAGGUCUCCAUAGGCUUCUCGGCGGCCACCGGCGCAGCGUACGGCAGCAAUCACACGGUACUCUCGUGCUCCUUCCAGUCCACGCUCCCGACAAGGAACGACACUGCCGGGUCUAUCUGGUCCACCAAACUCAGUGCCGGGGUUGCCGCGGCAGCCUUGCUGGUGCUCCUGCUAGGGGUCGCCGUCGCAGUUCUGCUCCGGCGUGCAAGCAGGAGAAACAGGCAGCCAGACGACAAAGACAUGCUCGCCGGCGAUAUGACUCCGGACUCCCUCGACAUCGACGACGAUGAGUUCGGUUCCAGCGCGGGGCCGCGGCCCAUCCCGUACGCCAACCUGGCGGCGGCGACGAGGAACUUCGCGGAGGAAGGGAAGCUGGGGCAGGGCGGCUCAGGGUCCGUGUACCGUGGCCACAUGAAAGAGCUCGGCGGCCGCGACGUCGCCAUCAAGGUGUUCUCUCGAGGGGCGUCCUCGGAGGGGAGGAAGGAGUACAGGUCGGAGGUCACCAUCAUCAGCAGACUGCGCCACCGGAAUCUUGUGCAGCUCAUCGGCUGGUGCCAUUGCCGCAGGCGGCUGCUGCUGGUCUACGAGCUCGUGCACAACGGCAGCCUCGAUGGGUACCUUUACGGCAAACAAGAGGUUCUGACAUGGCAAGUCAGAUACCAGAUAAUUCUUGGAUUGGCGUCUGCCGUGCUGUACCUCCACCAAGAAUGGGAUCAAUGCGUCGUCCACGGCGACAUUAAGCCGAGCAACAUCAUGCUGGACGAGUCCUUCAACACCAAGCUAGGCGACUUUGGCCUCUCGCGGCUAAUCGACCACGGCAUGAGCUUGCAGACGAUGACCGGCAUGGCGGGUACCCCGGGCUACCUCGACCCAGAGUGCGUCAUCACCGGCAAGGCGUCCACCGAGUCCGACAUGUACAGCUUUGGCGUCACGCUGCUGGAGAUCGUGUGCGGGCGGCGGCCGAUGGCGCCGCCCAGCGCCGGCGCCAAGGACGGCCAGGUGUUCCGGCUACUGGAGUGGGCGUGGGACCUCUAUGGAAGGGGCACCGCCCUCGACGCUGCUGACGAGCGUCUCGGCAGCGUGUUCGACCAGUGGGAGGUGGAGAGGGUGGUGGCCGUCGGGCUAUGGGCCGCGCACCCUGACCCCAAGAUGAGGCCGGCGAUCAGGCAGGCCGCCGAGGCGCUGCAGUCAAGGAAGUUCAGGAUGCCGGUGCUGCCGCCCAAGAUGCCGGUGGCUGUGUACCUGCAGCCUUUCGCAGCUUCCACCAUGGAGUACAGCGACACCACCACCACUGUCGGGUCGUCGACCAGCCGCACAACAGCGACACGAUCUUCAAAUAGUAGCAUGCCAGCGGCUGUGAGCGAGGAGUUGGUUUGA